rnacentral:rRNA from 1 species
GACGAACGCUGGCGGCGUGCCUAUACAUGCAAGUAGAACGCACAGUUUAUACCGUAGCUUGCUAAACCAUAGACUGUGAGUUGCGAACGGGUGAGUAACGCGUAGGUAACCUGCCUGGUAGCGGGGGAUAACUAUUGGAAACGAUAGCUAAUACCGCAUAAUAUUAAUUAUUGCAUGAUAAUUAAUUGAAAGGUGCAAUUGCACCACUACCAGAUGGACCUGCGUUGUAUUAGCUAGUAGGUGAGGUAACGGCUCACCUAGGCGACGAUACAUAGCCGACCUGAGAGGGUGAUCGGCCACACUGGGACUGAGACACGGCCCAGACUCCUACGGGAGGCAGCAGUAGGGAAUCUUCGGCAAUGGACGAAAGUCUGACCGAGCAACGCCGCGUGAGUGAAGAAGGUUUUCGGAUCGUAAAGCUCUGUUGUAAGAGAAGAACGGGUGCGAGAGUGGAAAGUUCACACUGUGACGGUAUCUUACCAGAAAGGGACGGCUAACUACGUG